CUACCAUGCAGUCGAGCGGUAGAGAGAAGCUUGCUUCUCUUGAGAGCGGCGGACGGGUGAGUAAUGCCUAGGAAUCUGCCUGGUAGUGGGGGAUAACGUUCGGAAACGGACGCUAAUACCGCAUACGUCCUACGGGAGAAAGCAGGGGACCUUCGGGCCUUGCGCUAUCAGAUGAGCCUAGGUCGGAUUAGCUAGUUGGUGGGGUAAUGGCUCACCAAGGCGACGAUCCGUAACUGGUCUGAGAGGAUGAUCAGUCACACUGGAACUGAGACACGGUCCAGACUCCUACGGGAGGCAGCAGUGGGGAAUAUUGGACAAUGGGCGAAAGCCUGAUCCAGCCAUGCCGCGUGUGUGAAGAAGGUCUUUGGAUUGUAAAGCACUUUAAGUUGGGAGGAAGGGUUGUAGAUUAAUACUCUGCAAUUUUGACGUUACCGACAGAAUAA
rnacentral:rRNA from 1 species